rnacentral:rRNA from 1 species
UGCAAGUCGAGCGGUAAGGCCCUUCGGGGUACACGAGCGGCGAACGGGUGAGUAACACGUGGGUAACCUGCCCUGUACUCUGGGAUAAGCCUGGGAAACUAGGUCUAAUACCGGAUACGACCCCUGGAGGCAUCUUCAGGGGUGGAAAGUUCCGGCGGUACAGGAUGGACCCGCGGCCUAUCAGCUUGUUGGUGGGGUAAUGGCCUACCAAGGCGACGACGGGUAGCCGGCCUGAGAGGGUGACCGGCCACACUGGGACUGAGACACGGCCCAGACUCCUACGGGAGGCAGCAGUGGGGAAUAUUGCACAAUGGGCGAAAGCUCUGAUGCAGCGACGCCGCGUGAGGGAUGACGGCCUUCGGGUUGUAAACCUCUUUCAGCAGGGACGAAGCGCGAGUGACGGUACCUGCAGAAGAA